rnacentral:rRNA from 1 species
AUUGAACGCUGGCGGCAGGCCUAACACAUGCAAGUCGAACGAAUGGCGGACGGGUGAGUAAUGUCUGGGAAACUGCAUGAUGGAGGGGGAUAACUACUGGAAACGGUAGCUAAUACCGCAUACCAUCAGAUGUUCCCAGAUGGGAUUAGCUAGUUGGUGGGGUAACGGCUACCCAAGGACACCCUCCCUAGCUUGUCUGAGAGGAUGACCAGCCACACUGGAACUGUGACCCGGUCCAGACUCCUACGGGAGGCAGCAGUGGGGAAUAUUGCACAAUGGGCGCAAGCCUGAUGCAGCCAUGCCGCGUGUAUGAAGAAGGCCUUCGGGUUGUAAAGGACUUUCAGCGGGGAGGCGUUACCCGCAGAAGAAGCACCGGCUAACUCCGUGCCAGCAGCCGCGGUAAGAC